rnacentral:rRNA from 1 species
CCUGAUGGAGGGGGAUAACUACUGGAAACGGUAGCUAAUACCGCAUAACGUCGCAAGACCAAAGAGGGGGACCUUCGGGCCUCUUGCCAUCGGAUGUGCCCAGAUGGGAUUAGCUUGUUGGUGGGGUAACGGCUCACCAAGGCGACGAUCCCUAGCUGGUCUGAGAGGAUGACCAGCCACACUGGAACUGAGACACGGUCCAGACUCCUACGGGAGGCAGCAGUGGGGAAUAUUGCACAAUGGGCGCAAGCCUGAUGCAGCCAUGCCGCGUGUAUGAAGAAGGCCUUCGGGUUGUAAAGUACUUUCAGCGGGGAGGAAGGGAGUAAAGUUAAUACCUUUGCUCAUUGACGUUACCCGCAGAAGAAGCACCGGCUAACUCCGUGCCAGCAGCCGCGGUAAUACGGAGGGUGCAAGCGUUAAUCGGAAUUACUGGGCGUAAAGCGCACGCAGGCGGUUUGUUAAGUCAGAUGUGAAAUCCCCCGG